GUCUACGGCCAUACCACCCUGAACGCGCCCGAUCUCGUCUGAUCUCGGAAGCUAAGCAGGGUCGGGCCUGGUUAGUACUUGGAUGGGAGACCAUGUGCAUUCAAGGGUAAAAGUAGCCC
ensembl:rRNA 5S_rRNA 5S ribosomal RNA